AAAAGUGCUUAUAGUGCAGGUAGA
rnacentral:piRNA from 3 species